rnacentral:rRNA from 1 species
CGCGUAGGCGGCCGUAUAAGUCGGGGGUGAAAGCCUGUGGCUCAACCACAGAAUUGCCUUCGAUACUGUACGGCUCGAGACCGGAAGAGGUAAGUGGAACUGCGAGUGUAGAGGUGAAAUUCGUAGAUAUUCGCAAGAACACCAGUGGCGAAGGCGGCUUACUGGUCCGGUUCUGACGCUGAGGCGCGAAAGCGUGGGGAGCAAACA